AAAUCCCGGAUUUUUCUCACUUGCCUUGUAGAUGACGAUAGAAAUCUUAUUCUACGAAUUAGGGACACAAUUCCGUCCAUUUGCUAUUACUUUUUUAUAUUUGUAUCAACUUCAAUCUUGUUCGACGGGUUUGAAGAUUGAUCGCCAGAAACAUAAAGGUGCAUAUCUGAAAAUUUCUGUUCAUUAUAAUUCCAGUAAUUUAUGCGUUUACAUCAAUAUGUCCGAUAUGAGGUUUCAUUAGAUGCAGAAAUUUGAAUCAACUAUUUCUAAUAUUUUUAAUUUAUUAUCGAUUAAUUUUACUUUUUUGGUUAAUCAAAUUUAUUUAUUUGUGUAUUGUGAAUAGUUCUAUACUUUCUUUGAAUUUCUUGUUCACCAGAAUUCCGGCUGCUUAUGGACUUCUAUUAAUAUGUCGGUCUUGAUGUUUAUGAAAAAUUUGUAGCUAAAUUCGCAAGAUAUUGUCACAUUUAGAUGACAUAUACACAUCAUAAUAUAUUGAUUUAUUAUAUUAUUCCAAAAAUGAGAUAUGUUCAUCAAAUCAGUAAAAUAUGUUCAUCAAAUCAAUAAAAUGUGUUCAUCAUAAUUAAUAAACUAUUCAUUAAAAAAAUUGAGUUAUGUUCAGCUAGAAAAUGAGAUUUGUUCAUUAAAGUUCAAAGGAUAUAACAAUUUGGUCAUACAAAACGUAUUAAAAAUUCAUUAUACUAAACGAAAAUAUAAUUUGUUCAUAUGAAAUCAUGUAUUUACCUAUUAAACUUUGACAAUACCCAUUGAACAUCGAAAUGAAGCUUCAAUCCAUUAUAGUGAGGUUUGUAUGAACACGAGUAUCAACGUGAAUUUGUUCUUGCUUGGAUGACACUAAAUUUCGAAUAAUUUUGAAUCAGUUAGUAAUUCAUGUAAGUUCAUUACAAUUUUGAAGUUGUUCAUUAGAAUACGUUAUGUGUUCAUUAUAUCUAACUGGAUAUUUCUAUAAUAUUAGUUGACAUUUGAUCAGAAAAUAUCUUUUGUUUGUAUUAAGUAAUUGUUCUUAUGUGCCCUAUGUAACUAAUUUUAACUGUAGGGACCAAACAUUGGAACUGAAAUUGGGAGUGAUGGAUGUAACAUCGCACCAGAUGAUGUUGUAGUUGAAGGUUGUAUUAACCCAAAAUUCAACGCUUAUUUGUUGCUGCUUGGGUGAAGCUAUAAAUAAGUUUUGGGAUGUUGGUUUUGAGAUGUUUUGUUAUUUUUGGUCAGGUUUUAAUACUGAACUACUUAUUGAACAUGUGUUUUACCUGAGAUUGAUAAGACAUAUUAUAUUGUUUCUUACGUCAUCAAACAUACCCAUAAAUUUCUUAUGAAUAUCAUUGAAAUUUUUAUGA
rnacentral:lncRNA from 1 species